rnacentral:rRNA from 1 species
GACGAACGCUGGCGGCGUGCUUAACACAUGCAAGUCGAACGGAAAGGCCCUGCUUUUGUGGGGUUCUCGAUUGGCGAACGGGUGAGUAACACGUGAGUAACCUGCCCUUGACUUUGGGAUAACUUCAGGAAACUGGGGCUAAUACCGGAUAGGAGCUCCUGCUGCAUGGUGGGGGUUGGAAAGUUUCGGCGGUUGGGGAUGGACUCGCGGCUUAUCAGCUUGUUGGUGGGGUAGUGGCUUACCAAGGCUUUGACGGGUAGCCGGCCUGAGAGGGUGACCGGCCACAUUGGGACUGCGAUACGGACCAGACUCCUACGGGAGGCAGCAGUGGGGAAUAUUGCACAAUGGGCGGAAGCCUGAUGCAGCAACGCCGCGUGCGGGAUGACGGGCUUCGGGUUGUAAACCGAUUUCGCCUGUGACGAAGCGUGAGUGACGGUAAUGGGUAAAGAAGCACCGGCUAACUACGUG